GAUGGAUGGACAGGUGAGAAGUCUUAUGCCAAAGAGCAUAAAUCAGACUUUCAAUCAUACCACCAAAUUCAUAUAGGAAAAAGUAUAAUUGAACAUUUUACCAGAAAAGUACCCAGUAUGUGCCUUUGAACACACAGAACCGGAAGCAUCUCAGAUUUGCUGCGUUUGAGCCUUGCUGAAGUUUCCCCGUGAGAUAAGCCGUGUGCUUUUUGGAUCCUGCUCAGCUGUGACAGUUUGCUUUCUUCCAUUUCUUCAGGUUUUUUGAGACGGAUUUUUCAGCCUAUUUGAAAGGUCAAGGAACAAUGGGGACUUUGUCCUUGUUAAUAUUAAAAGAGGAGCCUAG